rnacentral:misc_RNA from 1 species
GAAAAAGGCUUGGUUUGAUUAUUAGUCUCCUGGAAAACAGGCACAUGAAGGUUAAGAAUUUUCUAUACUGCCUAAACGGUAUGAAAAAUUAACAAAAUCUUGAAUGUACUACAAAGCCUUGUUCACAAUCACCUAUGGGAAUACAAUAAAACGAUUUCAGCAAUACAAGUCUUCCUAUCAUAAAAUUUCAAAUUCUGAUGUUGGUCCAUUUUCUGAUGCCGGACUUUACACUUCAACAAUGGAAUCUAUGCGUGGCUCCAAUCUUGUGAUCAAAUCAAAACUAAAGGGGAAUGGAAAACCAAAAAAAAAAGCCUAAUUAACAUAGUACAACAGCUAACCAGGAGAUAACAAUUACUGAGCAUUGCAAUUAGCAACCAGAACAAAAAGAAUAACUAAUCUCACCCACAACACAGCCUUGAUAAUGAAGGGGCUAUGACACAAAUCAUGCUUAAGCAAUGGCAUAUGUGAUGGUCUCUGACUCUUCGGGUCGCCAAAUGGAUUUCUCAACAUAAAGCAAUCCCUCCUUGUCUUUCGAGUAGGUCAUUCGGACCUCCCAAUGCAUAGACCUCACUAUGUUCUCCAGCUCACUAACAGUCUCAACAUUGUCACGGACAAUUAGCUUUCCUUCUGGCCGAAGUAUCCGAUCAACCUCCACAACUACAGCCACUAGAUUGCACCUCUUUUUAACCUUUGAGAAGAGAUGAUCUGCAUGAAGAAGAUCAUAAGAUCUAGGGUAGGUGCUAAAUGAUUCACACCAGUCAUGAUAAAUGCCAAAAAGACCACGUUCAUAAAUUAUAGGUAGAGUAUCUGGGGAGUCUAUUGGGACUACAUUCAUGACCCACACCUUUAUAUCCUUCAGAGCUGCAGCAAAACCUCCAUAGAUAGUUCUCAUGUCCAUGACGUUUCUCACAGAUGACCAUUUUAUUCCCAUUCCAUUUAGAUAUGACUUAGAUACCACCCGCUUCCAGUGCUCAUAGUCAGCAGUGAAAUCCUCUGGUUCUGGUUUACCAUAAACUCCAACUUUGGAACUCAACAUCCAAUAAGGUACUUUCUCCAACCUCGCUGGCCAUUGCUCUGGCCAUUGAGAUCCACGUUCUACUGAAUCUACUGGAACCUUGUGCAUACAUGCUUGCAGUGGCACGUUCCAGGCUGCAUUAGGAUCAUCAGAUGCUUCACACAGUGGAGGCUCUUGUUGUGAUCUUUUCUCAUAACAGUCAUUGGAAGUAGGCUUCCUGUAUAUAGCUAUACCCACACCAUUUACUGUAUCCUUGGUAAUGGACACAAGUUCCCAGCACAUAGCUUUGGUUAGUUCAGUCAUAGCUUUCCAAAUUUGAACAUCUUCAGCAACCUUCUUCUGAUAAACAGGAGUGGCAGACCACACAAAGAAACCACCAGGUCGCAACACACGAUUCAACUCCAAAAGAAGUUUACCACCUUCAAUAUGCCAUGGGACUCUGCAUCGAGCACAGUGGACAAUAUCAAAGACUCUGCCUGGAAAAGGAAGUCUCUGUGUUCCCAUCACAGCAGAUAUAGCAGGGAUUCCUCUUUCAAGAGCAAAUUGCACUUGAGCCUCAUGUUCAUCUUUAGGGGCAAACGACAUCGUGACAACAUCCCUAUCAAAUAGAAAGCCUCCAAAGCUAGCAACACCACAACCAACAUCCAAUAUCACACGGGAGCGUUUUCCCCAUGCAAUAUCAGGCACAGACUCAUUUAUGAAGUCAAUGUAAUGUAAAGCACCAUGCUUAAACUGAGUUCCACCACCAGGGAAAGUGAGGUAUUCGCCAGUAACUUUCACCCAGUUUUGAUGCCCUUUAACUUCUGCAAGUUUGGUGUGCGGAACAUUACUGUACCAUAUCUUUUCCCUGCUUUUGGGCCACUCAAUUGGGCGUUUAUAUCCUUCAGGAAGUGGAACAAGACAAGUUGGAGGUUCUUGAGGACAGUGCCUUUCUCGAUGUUCAUAGUGCUUGGUACUUCGAAGACUCCUAAUUGCUUGCCAAUUGUCAAGACAUGGGAUGUAAUCAGGCCCAGCAGUGACAUUGCAAGUUUUCCAAUUGUACGAGUUUUGUUGAUUAGAAGCUAAUUGAGUUUCUUUCUCAUUUCUUGACUCUGAUGCCUGAGUUGACCAUGACCCAGUCUGAGUGGCAGUUUCAUUCAAAAGCUCUGACUGAGCCCCUGAAGGAAAUACCUCAACUCCACUCUGGUUGUUGGCCUGCUCAUCAGAGGUUUUCUCUGACUCCUUGUUAUUUUUUAGAUCCACCUUCUCUUCUAUCUGCCCAUUCCCUGUUUUCCCAUCCUUCGUAUCACCAGAAUUCUCAUCUGACUUUGUCUUGGUGUCAUCUGCAUCAGAUUUCUUCUCUGUUACACCAGAGUUCUCAUCCGAUUUUGUCUCAGUCUCAUCAGUGCCUGGAUUCUUUUCAGUCUCGUCUGAUUCAGAUUUGUUCUCUUUUGAGUUCUCCUCAGAAUCACCUUGUCCAGUGCCACUAUUUUCACCCUCAUUAGUUUUUGUCUCUCCAGCUUCUGAGUUUUUUUCCCCAUCUAGCGUCUUAGAAUCCCCAUUUUCUGUAUUACUUUCUUCAUUUUGCUUCUCAUUAUUUGAGCCAUCAUUAGACUUAAUUACUUCAUCUUGCUUUUCCUCAGAUUUCUCUUCUUGCUUCUCUUCCACCUUCACCUCUUGAGUUUCUUGCGUAUUAGACUUGUCUUCUCCCUGAGGUUGACUUCUAUUGUUGUCCCCUUUAGUUGCAUCCUCAGGUAAAUCACCAGGGCUAUCCUCAAAUUGCUUAGGGUUGCUUUCGUUGCUCUCAGCCAGUGGUUCCUUGAUCUCAUUCUUGUUCUCCUGAGCAGGCACAUCCACAUUUUGACCAGGAACUACAGAUGAAGAUGUCAUCAUCCAUACCCCAACCAAGCAGAGAGCCACAAAGACCACAAUCGUCACCGUUGAGCAGUAAUUUGUUGAUUGCCUUCUAGUGUCUAUCCUAGUAUAUUUUCCUAAAGCCAUUGUUUUUUUUUUCUUUUUUCCUUUUACUUUCUUCAAUCAAUUCUUGAAAAUCUAACCUGCAGAUCAAAGUCAACUUAGAUGAAUCUUGCAAACCAACACCCAGUAUUGAGAUAUCCAAUAAAAUUACAACUACAUUACAGUGACACUAAUGCAAAGAAAUGCACCUCUUUACUUUCACAGGACUUGGGGUGUCUUACAUGCCAUAUGCAGAACAAUUUUACGUGUGCUGCUUUCUACAGCAUGGAAAUACCCUUGCAUCAAACAAAUCAACUAUUAAUAACUAAGAUAAUAGGCAAGAAACAUAUCCAGAUUUUUGAAGCCUUCCCCUGUGUACAAUUAUUCUUGAUCUAAAAAGAAAUUAAAUGCAAGUCCACAAAAACAUGAUUGGCCACAAAAAACUAUUAAUAGCUAGAUCACGACUCAGAUCAGAGCAAAAUUAACCCAAAGCUGAAAAUAAACAAAAUAAUCUACAAUUAGCAUUUAAAGUAAUCCGGACAAAAACGAAAAUAGCUCCACAAGUAAACCAAAUGCCCGAUCACCAAAGCCAAAUCUAAAAUGACUCAGAUCUGCACUAAAUCACUAAAAUAACAUUAUCCUCUUCCACCUGUUACUCUCUUUCGUCUCAACAACAAAAACUCAUUAGCUUGUGAGCACAAGGGCCACACGCAUACACGAAAAAUUACAUUCAGCACUACAAUGAGAAAGGAUCACAACAAAAAUCAUAAUAGAUCUACACAAAAACCAUACAGAUAGAAAGAGAGUGAAAGAUCUGAGACAAAUCAGGUGAGUGUGAGUACCUUGAUAUGAUAUUGAAGCGAGCGAAGGAAGAAGUGAAUAGAACCAAGCGCUAACUAUUCAUUUCUCUUCUCUUCUGCUGCUUGCAGAAAGACA